GAUGAACGCUGGCGGCGUGCCUAAUACAUGCAAGUCGAGCGAACAGACGAGGAGCUUGCUCCUCUGACGUUAGCGGCGGACGGGUGAGUAACACGUGGAUAACCUCCCUAUAAGACUGGGAUAACUUCGGGAAACCGGAGCUAAUACCGGAUAAUAUAUUGAACCGCAUGGUUCAAUAGUGAAAGACGGUUUUGCUGUCACUUAUAGAUGGAUCCGCGCCGCAUUAGCUAGUUGGUAAGGUAACGGCUUACCAAGGCAACGAUGCGUAGCCGACCUGAGAGGGUGAUCGGCCACACUGGAACUGAGACACGGUCCAGCCUCCUACGGGAGGCAGCAGUAGGGAAUCUUCCGCAAUGGGCGAAAGCUUGACGGAGCAACGCCGCGUGAGUGAUGAAGGUCUUCGGAUCGUAAAACUCUGUUAUUAGGGAAGAACAAAUGUGUAAGUAACUAUGCACGUCUUGACGGUACCUAAUCAGAAAGCCACGGCUAACUACGUG
rnacentral:rRNA from 1 species